ACACUAAUUUUACAAACACGCUUGAAAACCCAGUUUACGUUGAAAUAUUAGUGUUUUUUUUUUCCAUCGGUGAUGCAGAACCUUCAAUAACUAACACGAGAAUAGUGAAAAAUGCGCUUGAAAACCCAAAUAAUUUCCGAGUCUUGUAAAAGAAAAAAAAAAAAAAAUUCAGAACCCUCGUUAAACAAUAAUCAUUAAAAUACCCUUGAAAACCAUGAUAACUUCCACUUAGGUCUUCAGUGUAAUUUUCCAGCUUACUAUGCAGAAUUGUCAAACUAUCACUACUAUCGUGAAAAUCUGCAUAAAACUGCACUAAAAGAUAACAAAUAACAUCUCCAUCUUGUUCCGAAGCCUCGAGGCGCAGGAGUCAAGAAGUGGCGAAGUAAAUCGUUUCACUCUUUUGUCAUUACUUUGCAUUUACUGGUGUGUGGAGGACGUGAUAUGUGCUAAAAUAUCUUGUGGCUUUCUAGGGGAGUAGAUGGUGGGUAGAUGGGUAAAGUAGUAAGUAGACAGGUGUGGAGUGGUUAGUAGAUAGAAGGGUAGGUAAAUGGAAUUGUAAGAUUGCUUGUAAAUGGAGGGGUGGAAUAGAUGGGUAGAAUGAUAAGGAGCUGAGGGGAUAGAGUACGUAGAUAGGUAUUAAGUACUGUAAUAGAUAGAGGAAGGUGUAUCGAUCAAGGCAAAGAUGGACCGACCGUAACUGUGAGAAGUCUUCUCUCCUCAGUCCAGUUGUCUACAGAUUAAGUUGGCAUGUGUAGCAGCAUUUUGAACCUUGGCAUCCCAGUGUGGAGAACAUGUAAUGUGUGGCUUGGGUACACACACCACAAGACUCUUGCCCCACCAAGGCUCUAUAACUCUUCUAAUGAAGAAAGGAAAUGCAUUGUAUUUACACAAGCCUGAAUAUGUACACUUCAGCACCAUUCUUCUCUUGAGACCAGGGACUAGGAUGGGGUGUGACAACUAGUGCUCAAGGAGAGCCGUGCAGAAGCAUCAGAGGUAUCUACUGCAUGGGCCUUGCCUGAAGCUGUCUAUUAAGCUCCAUGGCCUGCUGCUCACACUAGUGAUCAUACAUUGCUGGCUGCUCAACACUGCCAGCAGUGAGCAGUAGAACUGGCAGGCCUGUCAUGCUGUGGAUGGCAAGAUCUGUGUGGCUGCUGGACUUAGAAUUCAACUAGACCUCAACUUGCUACUACCACCACCUUUCUCCUAACUAUGCUUCCUAUGAAUGCCCAGUGUGUCAGACUUUGUGGACUUGCAGUGUUGCGAAUAACAAACUUCCCAAUGUACUAAUACAGAGUUCUAGGACUCCCCACCUCAGUGAUAUUAUUGUAUUUUUAUUUUUUUAUUUAAUUAAUUAUUAUUAUUUUUUUUUUUGGUGGGGGGAGGGAGCAUGAAAGAUGUCCACCAGAGAGUCUUUGAGGUAUAAUAAAAAGGGGCAGAGA